AAAAAAAAAAAAGAAACAGAGAAAAUGGAAAAUCUCAAAUGUUUAACUUUGAGCCCAUCAAUGAGUUCAACCCCUGGUCACAUAGUUUUUGUCGUUUAUAAGUUCAUUCAUAUUCAGUUCUUGCUGCUCUUAGCCUCUUACCACUUUGCUUUUUUGUUAACCCUGGAAGUGAGCUAAAGGAGCUAAGCAUAUAGGCCUUUUGGCUUUAGCAUCAUGUCUGCUGUCUGAAUUUGUUCCAGAUUAUUUAACUAUCAUGACUGUCGCUUGAAUCACACCAUCUAGGUAUUAUCAGAAACAUCUCUGCUAAUCAUGUCCUUCAUCUUUACAUUAAGUGCGAGCUUAUGUUCGCUUUGCUAUUUUAACUAAGAAUGCACUUCUCAAGAAGCGGAAUGGAAAAUCUGGUAUUGCAAUUCUAAGAUUGUCAAGUGCACCUACAAAUUGCAUGAAUAAUCAUUAACUGAAUGUACAAUCAAUACAAUUAACUAAGUCUUAAUCCCUAACUAGUUGGCUCAUGAUAUGACUCCUCUAUUUUUCUGCUCUUGAGAGAUUGUUAAACAUCAGCAAAAAGAUUGCUGACAUAUGGAUCAUUUUCUUCCAUAGCCAACUAUAUGUAGUGUUGUCAAAGGCGAAAAGUGUUAAAAAGAGCUCCAAGUCUAUUGGGGCUUUAAGCGCAAAGCGCAAUUAAAUUGUGGGCAUUAGUUAAAAAAGCGCAACAAAGAAAAAAAAUAAAAACAUAUUUGUAAUACAAGGAAAAAAUAACAACUUCAUUCAUAAUGAUUUCGUUAAUAAUUAAUAUAUCUUUUGACAAUCAUAUUUAUUGCUUAGUAUCGCUCUAUUCAAGAUAGAACUUAUGGGCAAUGAUGUGCACGCCUUAGUGUCUUGUCUACACUAAAGCGCAGCCUAAGUGAGGUGAAGCGCCUGCCCUGAACUUCUCUGAGCUUCAGGGCUUAAGUGUGCCUCAAAUGGGCUUUUGACAACACGGACUAUAUGUGUAAAUGUAAAAAACAAAAUAUAACAGAACAUUGAAGAAUUGGCGAAAAUUUUUGCGGUCCAUUUCUAGGAUUCCCCCAAAAGUGAAAGAGUUGACUGAUGACAGAACUUAAAGGGAAGCCAUAUUCAACACUCUGAACGUUGUUAGUGAGGUCAGCACGUCAACUGCAGGUAGUGACUACAUAUAUAUCUUCACAGUUUGAUAUUAUUGCCUCCUUAUUUAGUAACAAUUUUUAUAGUUACUUGGGUAGGCUUUCAGAAGUUACUUUGGUGUAGAUAUAGAUAUUUAUAGUGCUUUAAAUGAAUUUUCUAAAGGCUGUCAUCACUGGUGGUUUGGAUGUUCAUGCUCACACUAGGCUUGUUCGAUUAGGAAAAUGCAUUUCUGAAAAUGUCUCUUGGUUGGUUUAAGUAACCUAUCCUACUCAUUAAACUUGAUAUCUAGCUUAGGUAACACUGGCUCGUCUUUAGAGUCUGGUGGAUCUAGUAAAGAAGGAGGCCAACUGAAAGCCACUAAAGAAUCAUUUUUCUCUGGCAUCAUAAAGAAGAGCUUUAAAGAAUUCAGCCAAUCCGAUCAUUCUGCGGAGGAGGAAAAAGCCAAUACUACAGUUAACGGGCAUCUUAUACCAGAUAGGCUGAUUAAAAAGGCAGAAAAGCGUGCUGGACGAAUACAACCUGGACAUUACUGGUAAGUAUUGGGACAUUCAAUCAUUUCAACCUGUUCAUUCUUUGAGUUUAAACCUGAUAUCUUUUGCUCUUUGACUUUGAUCUUGUUGCUGAUGUGUAUCGUAGGAGGCCAAAAAUAACAUAAGUGACUAUUUUAUAUAUCUGUUUGUUUAUUUGUUUUAUAUUUUGGGUGCAGGUGUAAAAUAAAGCUCUAUAUAAUUCUUGUUUGCUAGGUGAAAUAUUCAAACGUGAUUAUGCUUUUCGUAUUUAAUCUAUUAACUUUGUAGAAUUUCAUUAACGGAUUUGCGACAUAAAAUCCACCAAUAAGUAUGAUCAUACAGAAGUUGCAAGGUUACAAUGGGCAAGCAUGGAACCUCUUGGAAGCAAUAUUUCAACAUGCAUAUAGCACUGUUAUUUACUGAGAUACUGAGAAGAAGAUACUGAAUAUCUGAGAAAGAGCUCUAAUGCAGUAUUGAUUAUUUGAAAGUGUACAUGAUGGGUAGUUUUUAUACUUAAAUUUGUAAGAUUCCUAUUUUUUAUGGUUCAGUUAUGUCAAUUAGUCCACAUUUAUUCAACUGCAAAGAUUCACUUUACCUGGUCCUGUACCACAUUUUCUUUGUCCUAAAAUCACAUUUAUCAGUAUAUUGCUUUCUUGCCUUAAUUUCCUAUACCAGGUAUGAUUUUCGAGCUGGGUUCUGGGGAGUGACUGGUGGUCCUUGUCUGGGCAUUAUCCCUCCAUUUAUUGAAGAAUUCAAUUAUCCCAUGCCUGAGAAAUGUGCUGGUGGAAAUACUAUAACUAAAGUUUGCCUGGUUCUUGGAUCACGGCUAUUGUGGUGGAAAUAUUGUGCUACCUCCUUUGCAAUGUUAGCUUUCUAGCUUUAGUGCAGAAUGUUUUUCUAAUUUGUAAUUCUGUUUAAAUUACCGGAAGAUGUUUAUACCAAAUUCUCGCGAGCAAUAUUUGUGUAAAAUCCAGCUUUACUAAUUCUUUUACUAUAUCCUCCAGCACUUUAGUUA